rnacentral:tRNA from 1 species
AGGAAUAUAGUUCAAUUGGAUAGAACAUUGGGUUACGAACCCAAAGAUGCGAGUUCGAGUCUUGCUAUUCUUACUA